rnacentral:rRNA from 1 species
UACGUAGGGUGCGAGCGUUGUCCGGAAUUAUUGGGCGUAAAGGGCUCGUAGGCGGUUUGUCGCGUCGGGAGUGAAAACCUACAGCUUAACUGUGGGCUUGCUUUCGAUACGGGCAGACUAGAGGUAUGCAGGGGAGAACGGAAUUCCUGGUGUAGCGGUGAAAUGCGCAGAUAUCAGGAGGAACACCGGUGGCGAAGGCGGCCAUCUGGACGGUAACUGACGCUGAGACGCGAAAGCGUGGGGAGCGAACAGG